rnacentral:rRNA from 1 species
AGAGUUUGAUCCUGGCUCAGAACGAACGCUGGCGGCAGGCCUAACACAUGCAAGUCGAACGAUGAAACCCAGCUUGCUGGGUGGAUUAGUGGCGCACGGGUGAGUAACGCGUGGGAACCUACCCUUGAGUGCGGAAUAGCCCCGGGAAACUGGGAUUAAUACCGCAUAAUGUCUACGGACCAAAGAUUUAUCGCUCAAGGAUGGGCCCGCGUCGCAUUAGCUAGUUGGUAGGGUAAUGGCCUACCAAGGCUACGAUGCGUAGCUGGUUUGAGAGGAUGAUCAGCCACAUUGGGACUGAGACACGGCCCAGACUCCUACGGGAGGCAGCAGUGAGGAAUCUUGGACAAUGGGGGAAACCCUGAUCCAGCCAUGCCGCGUGAGUGAAGAAGGCCUUCGGGUUGUAAAACUCUUUCAAUCGUGAAGAGAUUGACGGUAGCGAUAGAAGAAGCCCCGGCUAACUUCGUGCCAGCAGCCGCGGUAAUACGAAGGGGGCUAGCGUUGUUCGGAAUCACUGGGCGUAAAGCGCGCGUAGGCGGACCAGCAAGUUGGAGGUGAAAGCCCAGGGCUCAACCCUGGAAUUGCCUCCAAAACUGCUGGUCUUGAGUCCGGA